ACGACCUUAGUUUAACUCGUGAGAAUGGUAGCUUGUCAUGCUAUGGGAGGGUUUGUCCCAGGUCGUG
rnacentral:tRNA from 1 species